rnacentral:rRNA from 1 species
GUAGUCCACGCCGUAAACGAUGAAUACUAGGGUGUCGGGUGUCAAAGACAUUCGGUGCCGCAGCUAACGCAAUAAGUAUUCCACCUGGGGGAGUACGUUCGCAAGAAUGAAACUCAAAGGAAUUGACGGGGACCCGCACAAGCGGUGGARCAUGUGGUUUAAUUCGAAGCAACGCGAAGAACCUUACCAAGUCUUGACAUCCCCCUGACCGGUGUAGAGAUAUGCCUUUCCUUCGGGACAGGGGAGACAGGUGGUGCAUGGUUGUCGUCAGCUCGUGUCGUGAGAUGUUGGGUUAAGUCCCGCAACGAGCGCAACCCUUGUCCUUAGUAGCCAGCGGUCCGGCCGGGCACUCUAGGGAGACUGCCGGAGACAAUCCGGAGGAAGGUGGGGAUGACGUCAAAUCAUCAUGCCCCUUAUGACUUGGGCUACACACGUGCUACAAUGGCGCAAACAAAGGGAAGCAAAGGAGCGAUCCGGAGCAAAUCCUCAAAAGGCGUCCCAGUUCGGAUUGUAGUCUGCAACUCGACUGCAUGAAGCUGGAAUCGCUAGUAAUCGCGAAUCAGCAUGUCGCGGUGAAUACGUUCCCGGGUCUUGUACACACCGCCCGUCACACCAUGGGAGUCGGAAAUGCCCGAAGUCAGUGACCUAACCAAACGGAAGGAGCUGCCGAAG